rnacentral:rRNA from 1 species
GGCAGACGGGUGAGUAACACGUAGACAAUCUUCCUCUUGGAGGGGGAUAGCUAGCCGAAAGGCUAGGUAAUACCCCGUACGAUCUUGGACCGGCAUCGGUUCAUGAUGAAACAUCCGCAAGGAUGGCCGAGAGACGAGUCUGCGGCCUAUCAGCUAGUUGGUGAGGUAACGGCUCACCAAGGCAACGACGGGUAACCGGCCUGAAAGGGUGGUCGGUCACACUGACACUGGGACACGGGUCAGACACCUACGGGUGGCAGCAGUGAGGAAUCUUGGACAAUGGGGGCAACCCUGAUCCAGCGACGCCGCGUGAAGGAUGAAGGUCUUCGGAUUGUAAACUUCUUUUGUUUGGGACUAAGAAACCUUUAGAAAUAGAGGGAGUGACUGUACCAAACGAAUAAGCCACGGCUAACUUCGUGCCAGCAGCCGCGGUAAUACGAAGGUGGCAAGCGUUACUCGGAAUUACUAGGCGUAAAGGGCAGGUAGGUGGUUCGGAAAGUCUGUUGUGUAAGCUCCCGGCCUAACU